rnacentral:misc_RNA from 1 species
CCGAGUUUACAACUCCCAAACCCAAUGUGAACGUUACCAAACUGUUGCCUCGGCGGGAUUUCUGCCCCGGGCGCGUCGCAGCCCCGGACCAAGGCGCCCGCCGGAGGACCAAUUUACAAACUCUUUGUAUGUCCCUCUGCGGAUUUUUACUAUACAUUCUGAGCUUUCUCGGCGCUCCUAGCGAGCGUUUCGAAAAUGAAUCA